UACUCCUACGGGAGGCAGCAGUGGGGAAUAUUGGGCAAUGGGGGAAACCCUGACCCAGCAACGCCGCGUGAAGGAUGAAGGCUUUCGGGUUGUAAACUUCUUCGAUCAGGGACGAAACAAAUGACGGUACCUGAAGAACAAGCCACGGCUAACUACGUGCCAGCAGCCGCGGUAAUA
rnacentral:rRNA from 1 species